GUCUUUGGUGUUUUAAUAAACACUUAGCUGAUUGACACAACUGUCCUGUUCGUUUCCAGUUUUUUAAAAUGUGAGGAUUUUUCUGCAUUGAGUACUUCACUUUCAAGACUUU